GCCGGGCAUGGUGGCAUGUGCCUGUGGUUCCAGCUACUUGGGAGGCUGAGGUGGGAGGAUUGCUUGAGCCCAGGAGUUCUGGGCUGCAAUACACUAUGCUAAUCAGGUGUCCACACUAAGUUCAGCAUCAGUAUGGUGACCUCCUGGGAGCAGGGAAUCACCAGGUUGCCUAAGGAGGGGUGAACUGGCCCAGGUCGAAAAUGGACCAGAUCAAAAGUCCUGUGCUGAUCAGAUCUGUUUCUAUGCAUUUCCAUAUAUUUGUGCAUAUAAAUGUUUUAUAUUUUAACAUAAAUGAGAUCACUCACUAUAU
ensembl:misc_RNA Metazoa_SRP Metazoan signal recognition particle RNA